rnacentral:rRNA from 1 species
GACGAACGCUGGCGGCGUGCCUAAUACAUGCAAGUCGAACGCAUUUUCGUUCACCGUAGCUUGCUACACCGAAAGAAAAUGAGUGGCGAACGGGUGAGUAACACGUGGGUAACCUGCCCAUCAGCGGGGGAUAACACUUGGAAACAGGUGCUAAUACCGCAUAAGACCACAGUACCGCAUGGUGCAGGGGUAAAAACUCCGGUGGUAUGAGAUGGACCCGCGUCUGAUUAGGUAGUUGGUGGGGUAACGGCCUACCAAGCCGACGAUCAGUAGCCGACCUGAGAGGGUGACCGGCCACAUUGGGACUGAGAUACGGCCCAG